rnacentral:rRNA from 1 species
UACAGAGGUGGCAAGCGUUGUUCGGAAUUACUGGGCGUAAAGGGCGCGCAGGCGGCGGUGCUGGCCCGGCGUGAAAGCCCCCGGCUCAACCGGGGAGGGUCGUCGGGGACCGCACCGCUUGAGGGCGGUAGGGGCUGGUGGAAUGCCUGGUGUAGUGGUGAAAUGCGUAGAGAUCAGGCAGAACACCCGUGGCGAAGGCGGCCAGCUGGGCCGUCCCUGACGCUGAGGCGCGAAGGCGUGGGGAGCGAACGGG